rnacentral:rRNA from 1 species
GACGAACCGAGCGAACGUUGUUCGGAAUCACUGGGCUUAAAGGGCGCGUAGGCGGGUGUUCAAGUCCGUGGUGAAAUCCUCCAGCUCAACUGGAGAACUGCCUCGGAUACUGAAUGUCUCGAGGGUGGCAGGGGUAUGCGGAACUAUCGGUGGAGCGGUGAAAUGCGUUGAUAUCGAUAGGAACUCCGGUGGCGAAGGCGGCAUACUGGUCCACUUCUGACGCUGAGGCGCGAAAGCCAGGGGAGCAAACGGG